rnacentral:rRNA from 1 species
UACCGCAAUGGGCGAAAGCCUGACGGAGCAACGCCGCGUGAGUGAUGAAGGUCUUCGGAUCGUAAAACUCUGUUAUUAGGGAAGAACAUAUGUGUAAGUAACUGUGCACAUCUUGACGGUACCUAAUCAGAAAGCCACGGCUAACUACGUGCCAGCAGCCGCGGUAAUACGUAGGUGGCAAGCGUUAUCCGGAAUUAUUGGGCGUAAAGCGCGCGUAGGCGGUUUUUUAAGUCUGAUGUGAAAGCCCACGGCUCAACCGUGGAGGGUCAUUGGAAACUGGAAAACUUGAGUGCAGAAGAGGAAAGUGGAAUUCCAUGUGUAGCGGUGAAAUGCGCAGAGAUAUGGAGGAACACCAGUGGCGAAGGCGACUUUCUGGUCUGUAACUGACGCUGAUGUGCGAAAGCGUGGGGAUCAAACAGGAUUAGAUACCCC